CAGUGGGAGGGAUACUGCAUGAUUCUCAGGUUAGGUCAUAAAAGGUGAUACAGUUUCUGCCUUAUUAUUCCUCUUCUCAUGUGCGACUUGGGAGCCAUGAGUUGACAUAUCAGAAGUCAGUCUACACCAAAGCUGCCAUGCUGGAGAAACCAUGAUGAACAAACAUGUGAGUGAACCAGUCUGCAGAUGAUUCCAGCCCUCAGUCUUCAAGCUGCCCUAGCUGAUGUCAACGAGAAGAGACAAGCUUCCCUCCACCAAGUCCUUCCCAAACUACAGAUUCAGGAGGAAAAUAAAUGUUAUUUUUAAGUCACUAA